UCUUUAGUUUUUAUUAAUGAUUUAUUAAUAAAUUAAGUCACUUUAAUUGUCAUAGUACCACUUUUCUAGUCAUUCAAAUGCCCGGAAUAAAAUUCGAUCCUUGUCCAAAAGAAAAAUAUUAUUCCAAGAGGUUUUUGAUGCAGUAGCUGCAAUUUUCGGAUUGACUCUCUAUUGUAUUUAAGCAAAUUGAGCCACGUCAAAUAGGUCAGGGUUUUCAGACAGGAUUUUUUUUAUUUUUUCAUGUUUUAGAGGUAAUUAAAAAAUAAUCACCACGUCUAUUUUGAGAGAACUAUUUUGACGGUACUCAACUAAAAAAAAGGACGUGUUUUUUUACAUGUGAAUUGAUAAAAUAGGACAGAAAAAUAAUUUCCAGAGGUUCCAAAUAGUAAUUUGGAAACGAAUUGUUGAUGUAAAAAUGUACGGUUAGGUUGGAAAAUCGGUUUUGUAGUGCUGGCAAGUCUCCUGACUUUCUAUAUACUGAAUAGUAUCCAGUGUAGAUCCAGAUAGUAUAAAGUGGAUUUUGCGUAUUCAGUUGAUGGAAAUGAUGUUUAUAGAAAUGAUCCUGAAGGAUAGAGGAUUUGUAGAAAGGGUGUCUCCUUUAUUGAGAAAUGAGAAAUUACUUCCAGGCAAUUGGAAAUUAAAUUUUAACUGCCUGAAAGUAAAAGGAACUGAGAAACUACUUCCAAGCAGUUGGAAAAUCAGUAAUAUCGAAGAAAUAUAAUGAUAACAUAGAUUUCUCCGGAAAAAAUUGCUAAAAAAGAGUACCAAGUCAUUUCUCUUCAGAGUAGUCCAUAAAUCAAUAAUUUAUAAAUCUUGACUACUAGAACCCAAGAUAUUCACUUGCCAAUAAGAGAGGAAUUAUUUGAUUUCUUACAGGCACUCCUGAAACUGAUAUUUAAAUUUCUUGACUUUUAAUGCAUUUAGUAGUAGUUUCUUAAAAGAUUAAAUUAGUCUUCAGAAUAAUCCAUAAAUUGAUAAUUUCUAAAUUUUGAUUAAAAGAACCUAAGAAAUUAUGUACGAAAAACGCCUGGACUAAGAUAAACCAGUUAAAGUCGACCCAUUAACUUGCAAUGGGUGCAAGUGAGAUAGAGAUAGCGCCAAUAUACUAUAUAUAUACACCAGUGCCAACUCUCUCAUUUUAUAGCCCAGGCGCUUUGAUGUAAAAAGUUUCAUCGCAUUAUAUUUUUAAUGUUUAUUUUUUCUUUUUUUGCUCGCAUGUUUAAAUUAUACUUUUUCUUUUUUUUUUCGUUUUUUUUAAUAGCAAGAAAACAAGUUUUAUCAGAUUGUUUAUGAAAAACGCCUGGACUAAGAUAACCUAUCCAAAGUCUUGCAAUGGGUGCGAGUGAAACAGAGAUAGCGAUGUAUCAGUGUCAUACAUCACAUUUUAUAGUCUAGGCGUUUAUUGUCGCAUUAAAAUUUUAUGUUUUUUUUCUCCUUUUUUGUGCACAUGUUUAAAAUAUGUUUUUUUCCUUUUUUGUAAUUUUUUUAAAAAUAAUUAAAAAAACAAAUUGAUCAAAUUAUUCGUGAAAAAGCCUGGACUAAGAUAACCCAGCCAAGGUUAAGCCAUUAACUUGCAAUGGGUGCGAGUGAAAUAUAGAUAGCGAUGCACCAGUACCAACACUGAUAUUUUAUAGUCUGGGCGUUUAGUGUAAAAUUUUUCAUCGCAUUAUAUUUUUAAUGUUUUUUUUUCUUUUUUUGCUCACAUGUUUAAAUUAUACUCUUUCUUUUUUUUUCGUUUUUUUUUUAUUAGCAAGAAAACAAGAACACCUAGCUACAGUCUUGCAAUGGAUGCGAGUGAGACAGCGAUAGCGAUAUACUAGUGCCAUCCUUCUCAUUUCAUAGUCUAAGCGUUUAUUGUCGCAUUAUAAUUUUAUGUUUUUUUUCUCUUUUUUGUGCACAUGUUUAAAAUAUGUUUUUUUUUAUUUGUAAUUUAUCUAAAAUGUAAUUUAAAAAAAAAAACAAAUUAAUCAAAUUAUUCAAAAAACACCUGGACUAAGAUAACCCAGCCAAAAUCGAUCAAUUAACUUGCAUUGCGUGGAAGUGAGAUAGAGUUAGCGAUGCACCAGUGCCAACUCUCUUAAUUAAUAGCCCGGGCGUUUAAAGUCAAUUUUUUCAUCGUUUUUUAUUCUUAUUUUCUUUCUCUUUCUUUAUGCAUGGGUUAAAUUAUGUUUUUUGUUUUCCUUUUUAAUUUAUUUGAAACUUAUUAAACAAAUUUAAUUUGAUUGUUUAUGAAAAGCCCUUGUACUAAACAAAAAUAUGUAAUAAAAUACUAAAUAACUUAGCCAAAGCCGACCAAUUAACUUGGGUGCGAGUGAGACAGCGAUAGCGAUGUACCAGUGCCAUCUCUCUCGUUUUACAGUCAGGCGUUUAUUGUUGCAUUAUAUUCUUAUUCUUUUUUUUCCUUUUUUUGUUCAUAUGCUUACAUUAAUUAUGCUUUUGAUUUUAUAAAAAAAAAACAAAUGAGAUCAAUUGUUGUAUGAAAAACGCCUGGACUAAGUUAAACUAGUCAAAGUCGGCCCAUUAACUCGCAGUUGGUGCAAAUGAGAUAAAAAUACUGAUGCACCAGUACCAUCUUUCCUCUUUUAUAGUGCAGGCGCUUAUAAUGUGCAUUUUUUCUUGAUUGAACCUAUUAAUUUUCCCUGGUACAUCACUGGUAGUGUAAAAUGGUAGAAGGAGCUUAUUUUGACAAAAUCACCACGUGACUGUUUAUUUAUUAAUUAGCGAUCGAUCAUGUGACCCUUUUCUACUAUAUGUGAGAUGUUACGUUGUCAAAUAAUAUUCUCGUUUUGUAAAAAAAAUAGUAGCAGGAAAAGAGUACUUUUUGAUUUUACUUGGUAGAAUGUUAAAUGAAAUACAAAAAAAAUAAUAAACCAUAUUUUAUUGCUUUUAAUACACUUUAAAUUAUCGUUACUCUUCUGCCACCUCCUCUUCCGGUUUAUCAGCAACUUCCUCUGCAGCCUCUACUUCCGAUUCUUCUGCUUCCGCAACAUCCUCUACUGUUGUUGUUUGUUUCGUAGUACUGUGCACUAAAGCCCAAUCUAAAUAAAUUAUAUUCAAACAUUUACACUAGUUACUUACCAGAAAAUAUGGGGAAAAGCAGAGAAAAACAUCCCGGUACUCCUGGUGAUCUAUUAUGGAUUAUUAAUGGGUCGGCAUUGUUUGCAACUGCAGGUUCUGUAAAAGACUUUAAAAAGAGUUAAAUAAUUUAAUUUUUAUUGCAUUUGUUUUUUACCAAAAUCAGGCUGACAUAGUAGAUGACCACAACAACUAGGCCUUCACUGCACUUCAUUUUCAUUGAAAAAAAUGCAUCGGUGAUGCCUCUUUAUUGUUUUUCGAACUCGGAUAUUGCAUAGCAGACGAACAUUUCCUACAAAUUUUUAGCAUGUAUUGGUCAAUUUUUAAUAUUUUAUUUCCUUGUAUGCAGUUUUUUUUAACAUAAUUUAAGUGCAGGAAAGAAACGUUUUUUGAAAACGAUUAUCCUGACACCUGCUAUUUGUAGCAUGUAAUUUAAGGUGGGAACUAUGAGAUGAAUUAUGAAACGUUCUUUAGAAAUCAGGUUUUGAGACAGUCAUAAAAAUGAAGCAAACAAUGUUAUUUGUUCUUACGGUACUGGUUCUUUGUAAUGGUGAGCCAAGAAGAUGUGGAAGAAGGUUUCUGGUUUCCCCAAUAAACUCGGAUGUUACCAGGAUUUCUGUAGCUGAGAGACACACUAACAGACAGGGUGAAGAGCAAAAGUCUUUAACUGACAUUUUGGAAAAUCACGAAAUGCCAACUUUCAAUAAACCUAUGCAGCAAAGAAGCCAAAUUUUACCACAAGCCCCAGGAAACAGAAAACAGGAAAUUGAAGGCCUUGACUAAAAUACCUGAUAUUGUUGCUGCAAUGAACACAAUAACAAUAUAUUGUUUUACUCACUACUAAAAUAAAAUAUUAUGCAAUUAAAUAUAAUGGCUUUUCAUUACUAUAUCAUGCCAGGUCCAAUUAUUAAAACACCCAUAUCCAUGUACAUACAUGGGAAAUGUUCAAAUGUAAUUUUUUAGAAGUUGGAAAGCUUUAUUGUAUUAGUAAUUUGAUUAUUUUAACCAGUCAUGUUGCCUAAGUACAAUAUUACAAUUAUAAUUUUUAUUGCCAGUGCGGUUAUUACUCAAGCAAAUUUUUUAAAAAUGUUAAUCCCGCCAAAAACACUGGAGUCAAAUAAUGACCCUGCAAAUUGUUAUGGGGGCGGAUAUGGCAGGAGAAGCCCCAUAUAUGUGAUUUAUGUUCCAGCACCAACCACAGUGUCAAGUACUACAGUCCAAGCUGGUAAAUGAUAUUUGUUUUGCGUUAAAAAUGAUUUAAAUAAAUUCCUAUUGUGCG
rnacentral:lncRNA from 1 species